CCUGGCAGUCCUGGAAGCUGCCUUCUAGGCACGUGUUCUGGUUUUCCUGAUCUCCUGAUGGUCUUCAGGAAAGAGCACUUUUCCCUGAGAGAUGAGCCAUGCAAUGUUCCCAGAGGGGCACCCAGCCCUGGGGCACAGCGCUGGUUGGCAGCACAGCAGCAGUGGUUGAGCACCCUCCCACCUCUGCUCUAUCUACCCGUGUCACUGAGCUUGCCUGGGGCCCUGGGUGCUGCCACAGCUGCAGAAUGAAUGUGGCUGCACCAUGACCCAAGGUCUUGCUUAGAAACCCACCCAGCCCAGCACUGCUGCCCUGUUAAGUGAAAAAUCCCUUCCCUCAAUAACGGGGCCAAUUGCUUCCUGCCUUUCAGCUCUGAUCCAGCUGCUGCUGAUCUCCAGGGGCCAGUAAAACACUUGUGGGUCUGCGAUGCUCUUUAAAAAUGGCAGUGGGUCUCUUUCCUUAGGGAGUGAAUGUUUUCUCCUCUCUGCACGAACGCUCCUCAGUCAGGAGCCUCUCCCUGGGUACAGAGCACUCUCUGAGCUCUCUGCUACUGCAGGAGCUGAAUUUCUGGGACCUGAAUGCAGAGCUGGGUGUUCAUAGGGGCAGCCUUUUGGGGUUAGGACCACUUGAGGAUUUCCACAGUUUGGAGGGAAUUUGAGUAUAGAUUUAAAGAGCUUUGCCAAUGUCUCUCAGCUGGGACCCAUGGCACCAUCUCCCCACCCAUCCCCAGCUGCAGGCAGCUCACACAGCCUUUCCUGCUAUCCUAACCUUCAGCUUCUACCCAUCUUUUCAUGCAGACCUCCAACCAGAGCUACAAUAGCACCCCAUCUUUUGUAUCUGAAAACAAACACAAGGUUGAUUCUAGAUUUGUGAUGUGCAAAGGUGAGGAAGGUGCCUCCUUGGGGUGCAAAUGGUGUUCUCUAGCCAUUGAAAGAAUUAAUAUGUAUUUAAUGCAUCCUUCCAAGUUCCCUCUAUCCUACUAAUGGAAUACUUAUGAAUUUGUUAUCUGAGUUGCCUGUGGAUCCAGAUCUGCUGUUUUUUGUUGAUAAUGUGUUGGUUCCUCUUUGGAAUGUUGUGUCUCUGCUAUCAGUGGGUGUUUUAUGUGGUUAUCAGUGUUAAAAGCACAGCUCAAGCAUGGCUAGCCAUCUGCCGCAUAGCUUAUUGAUUUGGGAUAAGAAAUGAAGGAGCCUUGUGUUUUUGUUCUUACUGUGUCUGCCACUGUUUCCUUACUCAACAUUUAUGUAUAUGUAUAUAUACACACUCACUGCUGAAGCUCAAAGGAUUUAAUUGGAGACAAGCAUACUUCAUCCGGAAACAGGACAAAGCCCUUCAGAGAUCUGAGCUUCCCUUCAGUCACUUUUGGACUUCUCCCCAGCAAAAGUUUCUGCUGAUAAGGACACAACAUCGUUAGCAUUGGAUCUUUCACCCAAGGGGGAAGAAAUGAGCAUGGAGCAACUGCUGCACAUUAUAAAUCAUGAGUUUCCCAAAGACAGUUGGGCUUCCUCAGUGGUUUGGGAUGUUGCUGUCAGCUCCCAUCUGUGCAGUGGCUCAACAGCAAAGGGUGGUUGCUUGUUCUGCUCUGGGAAAACAAGUGAACAAAAGGAUCUAGCAGUAACUUAUGUGGCUGGAUCAUCCAUAGCUCACCCCACCUCUGCUCUGAACACCUCUCUCAGGCUGCAAGUCGUGGAUCUCAAAGUUUCUCACCCUGCAAAGUGCAAACUGGUUUCCAAUCCCUGUGCUGGUGGCUAGGAGGAAAAUAGGAUGUCUGGAAAUGCCUAAGAACUUACUCAUGCAUUAAAGCUCUUCAGCAGUGUGUUAUCCUGGAUCAGGAAGACAUGAAAGUGGAUGUUGCUGGUGGAGGCUGCCUGCUACCCAUGUCCCUCAGUGCCACAUCUCCAUGGUUCUUGACCGCCUCCCUGGGCAGCCCAUUCCAGUGCAUCAUCACUCUUACUGAGAAGAAAUUCUUCCUAAUGUGCAACCUGAACCUCCCUUGGUGCAACUUAAAGCUGUUUCAUCUCAUCCUAUCAGGAACUUCACCGUGCCUGAAGGCUGACAUCUGGGAAUACAGGACAAACCCAUGUACCAAAAUGGAUGUUCCAUUGAUGCUGUAGGAGAUCAUCCUUAGCACAGCGCCUGUUACCAUAUCUCCUAGGUUUUGAACAUUCUAAGCUGGUCUGGAUACGGUUUGAACGUGCAGAAAACCUCAGUGUUCAUACAACACACUUGGCCAGGACAUUGGGCAGUGUCAGCCUCAUCCCAGGACUCUGCUGAGAGCUUCUCAGCCUUGUGCAGGAUGUCUGAAGAUUCUUUCACAUUUGUACAUGCUGACGCAAACAGAGCCCCUCGCUGCGGAAAUAAAACUACAGAGAAUUUCUGGCAGUGUUUGGAAUGAUGCAUAGUUUUGUGGUGACCUCUCCAUGGCAAGCGCGAAGUUCUAUCUAUGCUUGGGACCAAGUGAAAUGUUUGGCAUGACUUGAAACACCCUGAGAACCAAAGUCACCUCUUAAGGUCCUUGUCCCGACUGAUCCCUGCAGAAGCAAUGAAAAAGCAUCACUGCUCUUCUUUAUUUUUUUAAUCCAGGAGAAGCUGAAUUAUGGAAAGGUUGAGUUGCUCAGGGACACAAAGGAAAUCAAUAGCAGAACAGCUUCCAAACCGUAUUUCUUAAACAUCCCAUGCACACCCUUAAAGAAACUUAAAGAAGCUUUCAUCCUACAGCCAAACAGAUGCUGGGCUGCCCCAGCCAUGCAGCUCAGUGCCCACAGCUGUUGCACAGCUCCAACCCCACACUGCACCCACAGUUCUCCCACCUGAUGCUGCCUUGUGCUUUCAGCUCAUUUCCUGGAGUGCAGAAAAAAAGAAAGCCCUGGAGUUCAGCAGCAGUCUGACAGCAGCUGACCUUUGUAUGAUAAGCAAUGUUCCUCAGCAGCAUGCAUCAGCUUGCAUCAGUUUAUAUUUAUUUUGCUCGUCUCUUGCAAGCAUCCAAAGUGAUACUGAUUGGAUAGGACAAGCAGGAUCUCAGCAUCUUGAAGUAAUCUAUAAGGAGACGGCAGCAGAGAGUCAUUAGACAGCAGUUUCUACAAAUGGCUUUGAGGAAUUUGUCUGUGCCAAAGACUGUUCUCAUGUCAAAGGAUUGAGAAAGGCUCAGCAAGCAGGGAUUUGUUUGUCUUGGAAGAUCUUUGGGGAAUCACAGGGUGAUUUGGAAUAGACUGAUAGAAAUCCCCCCAUCCAAGCUUCUACAUGAGCCCCUGGGAAGCUGCUGCUCUUCCAGUAUCCUUCUAUCUCUUCUGAUUAACCCGCUGCUAAUAAGUGAUGUCAUGGACUCAUCCUCACUGCGUUUAUCAAAGUAUGCAGCAUGUUUCUUCGUGUAAAAAUGACACAAUGACACCAAAACUGGAUCAUGAUUUAGGGACAUAAAUGCAACUUGAAAACUUUAGCAAGGUGCUCUGUGUGUGUAUGCUGGCUUACUGAGACACUGGACACUAAAAGUCUUUUAGAAGUUCUUAAAGGUGAAUUAGCCAGGUAUCAGACCUUUGUGUGCUUAGCAUACUGCAAGCACUGGGAGCAAAGGCAGUGCCUGUGAUGAUGAAAAACCUCCAUCUGUAGCACUCAGAGCUGUUCUGAUGGGACCAAAAUAUGUGUAGGGUAUGCUCAGCUUCCCACAGUUCAGGGAGGUCAGAAACAUUCAUCAGACCUCGUCUUAAAGCAUGAAACAUUGAGAAGAAGCUUGAGAAAGUCUGGAAAGCUUUGGGAUGUGCAGGCUUGGAAUUUCCUUACCUCCACCUCCCUGUGUGAGACCUGUUCCUUCAAGCAGUUCUUGUUGGCAUGAACUCUUCUAUGGAGCUGUCCCAGGAGGACCCAAUGCACACAGAAGCACAUUUGUGUUGGCCGUGUUUUAUGAGACUGCAGCCUCCUGACCUCAGGAAUCUGUCGUGCAGUGAUUUGGAUCUGUGGGGAAACCUCAGAUGAGUCCAUUCAUCAUCGCAGCCCCCUGGCUUAUCACCACACAGCCCAGGUGGGAGAGCUGGAUCAGGAGAACAGUUCUGAGUGGAUUGCUUAAGAGGAUUGUCACUGUGGGAUUAGGGCUAGAACACUCCAUUGCCACAUUACCACUUGUAUGUCUGAGGCAGCAGUGAAUAAUGUACUCUGGAAGGGUCAGUAAGGCAUUCUUUCACGUUUUACAUGUGGAUAUGGGUGUGUAGAUGCUGGAGAUUCAGUAGUGAAGUGAUGAAACAAAAAUCUUUAUGGGUUGGGAAGUAUUGAGUGGGUUUUGACACUGAAAGGAGGAAAAGCAGAAAGAUCAUUUAAAAAAAGAAGAGGUUGGCAAGGUUUUUUUUUGAUCAGAUUUUAAUUAGAAUUCAGUCAUUAACAUCAGAAUGUAACGAGUUUGUCUUGGCAUUAAGUGAUGCCAGUGCCAUGUCAGCAUGGCUUUGCCAUCAGCAAUAAGUAGUCUUGCACUCAGCUUUGUAAUCAUGACCCUAUCAUGUGGGUAUCUACCCAAGGAAUGCCCAUGUUCACACCCUGAGACAAAACCUGUAAAUUCUGGUUAUUUUCUGGGUGUUUUCCCACAUCAGCCACUAUUCACAACAUCAGCAUUACCAACAUUGCGACACACCUGUAAACUGGAGCUCAAGCAGUCCUGCUGCACACCCCUGUUCCAUAGUUCCACUUGCACAGCCCAUGAGCUUUCCCAUCUCCCCAUCCAUCCCCUUCUGUCUGACAUCAGUUCCCUCCUUGUGGUUUUGCCCACUGUGUCAGCCCAGUUCGCAUUGGGAUGGACACGCAAUCCAUCAAGAUCAUUGAAUUUCUGCGUGUGUUCUGACUUUGAAACAAUUCUGCACGUAAGCACUUGGCCACCAGCGACCUGAUGAGACUGAACUGCUGUGAACCCGAACGCGUAUUGAAGCAGCUCUGGAAAAGGGCAAACCAGUUUUUACUACUCAAAGCAGGAUGUAGCACUUUGGAGAGCUUCAAGCAAUAAAGCCGUCAUCUCCCCUGCCCUGAUCCCACAGCACAGAGCUUGCUUUCCAGGAAGAAGAGGAACAAUGUGCUGCAGCAAAGCGGUCAGAUGGAGGACAGGGAUGGGCAGUUCCAUUUUGGGCAGUGCAUUGUGCAGACAUCCACCAACCCAAUCUCCAGAAUGUCUAUUUACUGUGAGACUGCAAUAGAAGAUACCCCACAACAGAAGGUACCGAGGUCUGAUCAAUGACUUACUAAAGAUCAGUGGAUCGAGAGAGGGCCCAUGCCUGCUGCUCAGGAAUUGUGGUCCUGGGCUGGGUUUUGCUUCCCUAUGAAGCUAUUGAGCUUCCCUUUAUCUGAAGGCCUUCGAAGGAGUUUGUACAAGGUACUCUCAUUUGUACUCUCAUUACUCCCCGUGUAUUCCUAACUGGAUGCUCACCAGCACAGCUAAUGAAGGGCUAAAGACAAUAUGCUAAGUCAGAGAUAUCUCAUAGUGUUUCUGUUGUAAUGGAAGCCACCACUGUAUGGGGACAUCGUUCCCACUGAGCAGUAUUGUCAGCAGCAGAAGUGAAUCCUUGACUGAUGACACACUUGAUGGCAAAUCCCAGAGGUUUUUGUCCUCCCUGCCCUGGUGGCUUUCUGCAAACAGGCUGCUGCUUCUGCAUCUUCUUCCUGAUCCUUUUCCAUCCUUGAGAUAAACUCUUCCUGACAGGCACUCCCUGCUCUGGCAACUGGGAGCUGAAGGAAUUCCCAAGCCAGCAGUUGCAUCCAAAUCACAGACAUGAGCAGAGGUGACACAGCAGAAAUAAUACAAUCUGCAAGCUUUGCUUACAGUGUAGGAUCACAACAGAGAAGAACUAACUGCUCAUGUCUUCAGAGGAAAAAGAAGAACCUCUCUGUACUGCCCAUCAAAGAGAGUCAUCAUCAUCAUCAAGAGCCCUCACCUGUGCUGUGGAUGAGGGAGAUGCCUAAUAACCUUUGUUGAGAAAGCAGAGGCGUGUCAGCAUGAGCUACGUGCUAUUGUGUGCUUCGUUCUGCACUUUGAUGCAGAUUGGUUUUAUUUUGUCUGGGUCUGCUGCUGGCAGGUAAAAUCUGACCAUGCUCCUGACACGUGUUUUGUGUGCGCAGAUUUAAUGAAGAUUCCCUUUUGUUGAACUGGUUAUUACCGCUUUUGUGAUUACAAAAUAUCUGGUAGCUGUGGCAAAGGGCUUGCUGAGAACAUAAAUAACAAGGGAUGUAUUCACUAUCAGCUGUAAAGCACCGUAAGCCAAUGAGCUGCUUUUGCAUAAGUUGCUCCAGGGGCAUUAAAAAAAUACAACUGGCCUUGCCAAGACCGUAACAGAAUAGAAGCUCUAACGUGCAACUGAGCAAGCCAUUAUUUAUUGCAGGGCUACGAGUGUCAGUACAUACAACAAACCCGCUAUUUCCCUUCUAUUCACUGACCCUCUGCCCCUGCUGCAUAUUUCAUCAGGCAGCUAUAGAGUCCAUCAGGACCACAGUUCAACCCCCUGCGAAGCCUCCACGGGGGGAUGUGGGGAGGCUGGUGCAGCCCUGGAGCUGUAAUGGGAAAGGCACGAGGAAUGUCAGCACCUCCACCAGUCUGUAAGCAGCACCAUCUUGAUUUCAGCUUUUCAGUGCUGAGUGAGCUGGAAAAAAUGUAUCACAUGCUCUUUGUUCCCAGGGCAGACGCUAGUUUUUAUUAGAACAUCUUGGACGGAAUCUUGUCUCAGUUACAUUGAUAAAAAUCCGGUUAUGCUACUACAGACAACUGAAGUAUUUCAGACGUAUCCUGGUGUGGCUCCGAGCAGAGCGUGUUCCUGUGCUCACAAGGGACUCCUCGAGGAAGCUGAUAAGCAGCAUCUGGAAGCUCAGGAACCCACACUUGGGAUAAAACGUUGUGCACAAAAAUUGUAUGGCAAGCCAUUCACAUUGCACUGCUAAUAGAUGAUGACAAGAUUAGGUAGAUCUUUUCCAGCUCAUGCUUGUGUUUAUCUUACUAUUGAAGCUCAGUGUUUUGGCUGGGAAACCACGAUAGAAAAUGAUAGGGGAUUCCAGGCUGAAAAUAACUAAGCAGCAAGCUCUGUUCAGGGCCCAGCCUUGGUAAAGCGGUUUGUCACUGUGACUUUAACUAAAAAGGAACCUCUCCCUGCUUUCUUGAGGAUCACACACAAACUGUACUGAGAUUCAGCUGGUACAAGCAAAGAACUGUCAUCUUGCUGAGGACGUGAUACGCAAAGAUAGAACUGAAACACAAAAACAUCUGAAGACAAAAAUAGUAGACUGCAAACCUAGCAAUUUUUUUUUCACUUGUCUGAGUGCCAGCAGAUAGGGCUGUGUGAUUUUGAACGGAUGUACACAACGAUGGCAACAGAGCAGUUGGACAGGCAGUCCAGCCAGCUGUUUCUCUAGUGCUGGUGCCCACAAGAGACCAGAACACCAGUUCCUUGAUGACUCCAGAGAGACCUUUCCAGGAACUGGGCUUCAGUUACAGAUGCAGUACUGGGAAGGUUGUGGACAGGGGAGAAAGAAGGAGAGAAGGGAUUUGAAAUCAGUCUGAUGUUUCAGAUAUGGGAAGUGAGGAUUUCUGGGGUGAAGCUAAAUAUGGCUCCUGACAGAGGAUGUUUCUUUUUGUGGUGGGGCAUGUGCAGCCUAUGAGAUUCACAAGAGUCUUUUGUCAGGGGUACACAAAGCAGAGAAGGGAAAGCUAGCAGUGCCCUGCCAGAGAUGGGUGCAGCCCUGGGCAACCUGGUCUGGUGCCUGAUCUUGUGGCUGACAGCUCUGCAUGUGUCAGGGCAGAUGGAACUAAAUGAUGCUGGAGGUCCUUUCCAACCCAAACCAUUUUGUAAUUCCAUGAUUGUAUGGUCCUCUAGAGAACCACAGCCAGGAGCACAGCCCUUGCCUCCAGAUUCCCUUAUGCUAACGAAUGAACCAAUGCAGUUGUACCCCUAUGCUAGCUGGAUUUAGGACAAGAGGGAGGAGCAGGCCAGCACUCAUGACGUAAGAUGCCUGGUUGGAAGUGCUCUUUGUGUGAGGUUGUGAGCUAGAGGCAGACCAUCCCCAGCCAAACUGCUGUGCAACUCCCAGGGGAAGCUCGGAGUUGGCCAGGUUAGACAGAGGAGCCUGCUGCAAGAUCUGCUGCACAGAUAGCCUCCUUCUUGAUGAAGGGCUGUUUUCUCUGCUCUGCAAGGGUGUUUGUGAAGGGCUUUAGGUUUAUUCUUGUCUGUCAAGAUGGGAUGCAUUGCAGACAUCAAGAGGGCAGAGUUCAUGGCCAUCUAGGCAUAACAACCUGUUGUUUAUUAAGGGCUUGGCUCUUUGGUGAGCUCAGCAUAGCUCUUACCCACCGUAGUAGAAAACAAUGCCCAGGCAGGUGAUGCCACAGCACAGAGGCAUGAGCAGAAGCACAGAGGUGUGUCAAGUGCUGAGCAUGGAUGCUGAGUGCCAGGGAUGUUUUUAGCAUCCAGCACACAAGGUGUUGAACAGCUGUCUGUUGUGUGCUGGUCACACCAUUUGCCACAGCCUCAGUUCUGAGCGAGUAAUCCAAGACACUGAAAUCUUUCUCAGCAAAGCAGGUGUCAAUGGGCAAUGCUGUGUGGUUGCUGGUGCUGAGGGUGUAGUGUUGGUCACAGCACUGCAUGAUCCCUGUGCUUGGUCUCUUAGCACAGUGCAUUCUUAAAUACUUGGGAUUUAGCAGUCCUAAAGGAUCUGUGGAAAUUCCAGAGCUUUUUCUCUCUUAGAUGCUCUGUAUUCUACAAAUGCAAAUAGCUUUCACCUAAAGUCUUUGUAGCUGUCCACCCUGUGUGAUUGAAUUAGGAGGAUGUUCAGUGUUGGUUUAGCGAUCUGUUUCUGUUUCUGCCCCAGCUGAUUGGAAACCUUUAACCUUCUCAAAGAAUAUACGCAGCCACAAAAUGAGUCAACAACAUCUAAUCUGGGAAAAACAGCCAAAUGUUAAGUAAAGUUAAUUGCCUCUUUCUAUGACAUGCGGUGAACAGCACAAAGUUCACCGGAGUGUGGUGGGAAUUAUCCAUGGAUACUUGCCAAUGCACCCCGUGUGUGUUUAUGCACACACACACCUUCCCAAGAGACUCUCCUGUCACUGAUGAUUUGUAUCUCCACUUUGGCAACAUUGGGAAAUUCAUGGUCUGCCUUUACAACUGCUCCGAAGGAAUUCAAACAUCCCUGUAUUCCAUCUGGUCCUGUACUCAGGAGAUGGAAGGGAAGAUCUAGUAUGUGAUCUUCACCUCCAGCAUCAAGCAUUUAGGCACCACACAGAUCAUUAUGUUUCCUCUGUUUUUCCUGAUCUGAGCACUUUGGACACAUAUGUAGAAGGAACUGUACCAUGGGCACUCCUCCUCAAUAACCAGCUCCUGGUGCUUCUCACUAUCCCUUCACCUGGCAAUGGCUCUGCAUGGAGCCAGGGAUGUCCAGUCUCCUCAGUCUGGUUUUCUAAGAGUUGUAUCUCUCUUUCCUGCUAAAGUUCAGCCCAUUUCAAGAGGCUGGAGAUAAUUCAAGUUCAACAGAAACUCCAUAUUCCGGGCUGCCUUUGUUUGUUACCAAUUCUGUUACUAUCUUCCCCUGGAGCUUAGAAUUUCACAAUGCAAGGUUUGUCAAGAGGUCAUUUCUUUUCCUGUUCCUGUGUCAUACUUUGCUCACUGGGCUCAGGUAGUGCUGCCAGAACUGCAAGGGACAUUGAGAAAGGGAUGACAAGAUGAGGUCAGCUCCAAAGGGCACUGUCAGAGCUGGGGAACACCAAACACUGUCCCCUUGCCAGGCUGUAUCUUUCUAGAGAGGCAAUUUAAGAUCUCAAGGUGGCACUGAUCACAGGCAUGAAUGAAUCAGAAAAUAAAAAAGACUUCCACCAGGGAUAAUAAAGACAAAAUAAUUACUUGAAGUUGUUUUGCUUUUUGUUCAGCUUCAAGAGAAGGAUUCAAUACAUAGGAAGAGCUCAAGGCAGAGAUGAUAUAUCAAUGCUGGUGAUUUGAGGCUGCCCUUUCAGUUGCUGUUUCAGUGCACUGAAGGUUUGUGUUCAGGAGUUCCAAGAAGUGAAAUGGUGUAGGUUGGGUGGAAAUUUA